GAAAGCAGAGGAGCUUGGGCCUUUGGGGUGGAUCUGUGGCCUGCAGAGAUCAGAUGGCCGGGGCUUGGCCACGUGCCGAGGAGCCUGCCCUGGGGGGCUGAGCCUGUGCCACCAGCUACAGCUGGGAGAGCAAGGGUCAGAGGAGGGGCCUCUGCUCGGGGAGGAUCCCACCCAGCUCCCCGCCUGGGGCGAGGGACUUUGUAGAGCCCCAGGUUGGCAAAGAAAGGAGCCAGUUCCAAAGCCAGACUGUUUUUUCCAAGUAUGACUUCAUUAACAACCUCACAGCAUUCCCCCCAAGUUCGGGUGGCAGGCGAUUUCAUCUUUUGAUGGAGACAGAGCUGAGGAAGGAGAAGUAAAAUGAAACCUUGCUGCCCUGCGAUGAGGAAAAACCACUGCUCCAGAUUUGCAACGACCCUACAGACAGAGGGACCUGGGAUUCUACCUCCUGAUGGAAAUAGCUGUCCUCAUCCUCCACGUCCAACCAAUGGCUCUGCCCUGGGCUCAUAGGCCGUCAGGUCUGCUCCUCCCAACCAGACGUUGAGGAGGGAGGCAGGCCUUGCACCUUUCAACAGGUGAGGAACCGGAAACCCAGGGGGGAAGUGACCAACGCUAGAGGCCAGAUAUCCCUCCCACUGCUGCAGCUCCUACAGAGGGACCUUGUAGACGAACCUGGACGGAGCAGUAGACCUCCUCCGCUCACCAGCCUGCAAAACCCUGCUGCUACCUCCUGCUGUACCCAAAAUACAGGCCUCAGGGGAGGGGAGAGGGUCGUGCUGGGCUGAGCCCAAGCCAGCUCUGCCCCUCUGAACAGGAGCCUAAAGGCCCCACCAAUAACCCCAGGACCAUGAUGUGCUACAGCCCAGAGGCCUAGUAGAAAGUGAGGAUACUGAGGCCCCACUGAAGGGAUGGAACUUACCCAAGGUCACACAGCGAGGUGUUGGUCCCAAGAACUCCCCAGUGUGCGUGUGCCCUUCGUGCUGAUCCCGGGGUCCAUCUCCCAGACAGCCCAACCCACAGCAGCUUCGAAGGGCCCCGACUCUGAGUCACCUUCAGCACCAGCAUCUUCAUCAUGAUGGCCGUGUGUUGGCACUCCCUGUGUGUAGAACUCAGUGCUGAGAACUCCAGGUGCGUCCUUCCAUUCGGUUCCUGAGACCGCCCUGGGAUCUGUCUUACAGCUCAGGCAAGACCGAGCAGAUGGAUAAUCCUGCUCAGCUAAGAACAGACAUUUGGCAGCCCCGAGUCCGGCCGUCCUCAUGCUGCUCUGCUGUUCAUACACCAGGAAGGAACACAGUCUUUAGGUUCCAGUGACUGUCAGAAAGGGAGGGGGCUUCCAACCAUACAGCCAAUUAUCCAGCCAGCCAGCCGUCCAUCCAUCCAAAAGAAAUCUGCUCCCUUUAUUAGUCCCCCUCCCUUCCCAACCACACGUGUGGCUUCGUCUGAGGACUGACCAGCACAUGGACCAGACCACGAAUCAAGUCCCUGCGCAGCCUGUGUUUCCACUAAGCCACUUGAUGUCACCUCUGAGGCUGGCCUGCCGGUGCCUCUUCCCAGAAUCUCUCCCUUCCUGGCACCUCCGCUCGACCGUGGGAGGCCCAGUGCGGCCUUGGGCCGCACUUCUGACAGAACACUCGGAUGAACCCUGGAAGGGGAGGACAACAGGGGGAAGGGUGCUUGUGGAAGGGUUUGCACAAGAUCCUGGUCCUACAGUUGUUCAUAGACGAGUCUCCUUCCUGGAAGCAGGCAGAUCCUCUAGAACCAGGACCUGAAGAUGCUCAGGUAUAGAGAGUGAAUGGUUCCCAGCGGGGUUAGUUGUAGAGAAGAGGGAGGGAAAUGGGCUUGGGAAUCCAGAACCUCAGGAACACGUAUGUCAGACCAUCACACCUCCUUUCAUCUCGAGCCUGCUCCCAAGAAGCUGUGCAGCCUCUGCUGUCACACCUCCUGUGACGGGCAGCUCACUACCUUUCUAAGCAGCUCUUUCCCACUCCUUCUGUGCUUCAGCGUCCCCCACCCAGGUCCGACUCAGCAGGGCCAUCAGAACAUUUGAGGGCAUCCCCCAACCAGACCCUGGAGAUUUUAUGCAAACCAAUCAUCACAGGAAGCGUCAAGUCCCUGGAAUUCGUUAAGCUUGAUGAGAGGAAGAACGUGAACGCCAGAUAUUCAUUAAAUGGGGACACAGAGGGAGCUUUCCUUCCAUGAGUGUUUGCUUCUGGGCCUCCACCAUUUCCCCCAAAUCUGCCCUAAUGCUAAGCCCUCCCUGUUGCCCAGUGCUCUCCCAUCCACCCCUCCCUUGGCCCUUACUAAGAUUCUGUAAGAUGGACAACGCUGGGCCUGUCUCCACCCUGCUGUCUUGUUCCCCAAACCCACUGGUGUCAUUUUUUCUUCCUGGGAAGGCGUGGCCUGGUUUCCAUGUAUUCAUGCAGUCGAACAACAAAGAUUCAACGAGCACCCACAACGUGUCGGGCACUGUGUCGGAUGCUGGGACCACGAGGAGGCCAGAGACCCACCUUCAAGCAGUACAGAGGCUCCAGGCAGAGCCAGAUGAUGGAAGAGGCAGUAGGAUUACAGGGGUGUCUAUGCGACAAAGCCCGGGGCCUCGCGUGACCCUGUCUCAGCCUUUGUGGCAUCCAAUGAAACAUACCCUGGUCGUCACGACUACACAAAACAGCAAGGUCAAUCUGUAUCUGUGUUACUUGAAAGAGUAAAGGUGAUCCCAUCCACAGCCCCAGCCACAUUACGCUCUCUGCAAAAUGCCCUCAUGCCUGUACAUUACAGCCCUUCCUGCUCGGAGACCCUCCCUCACGACACUUCUGAAAACAGGCCCUCGCACUUCUCUUUCCUUGCCCCCUCCCCUGUCAUCCAGCCUCACGGCCUCCGGCCAAGGGGCCCCUGCCUCCCUCGAAGGCCAAGCCAGGGGUUAUCAGAUGUUCCCAGUCAGAGGCCCCAGGAGCCCAACACUCUGGACCCUUCCGGCCGCUCAGGAGGCAGAGCUCCCUGCUCAGUGUGACUGCUUUCUCUGACAAGAAACGCUUGCCACCCGAAACUCCACCGUGUUGCAGAGGGAUGCACAAGUGUGGCCUGCGACAGGGGAGUCUUCCCAGAGGAGCAGGAGGUGGGAAAGGAGAGGGGAGGCCGUGGCAGGAAGGGUGGCCCAGACAGGGCUGCACGAGAGUCUGUGCUCGAUGCGGGAAAACACGAGGACCCGGUAGUUGCUCCUUCGUCCUUACAGCUUGUUGAAUAGGACGACUGGAUCUGGAUGGAAGAAGGUCUUCUCAUGAAGGCCCAUCACACAGACUCAAGUCAAGCGGCUGCUCUCUGCGCUUCAUACAAUUCCCACUUCCCGGUCUUGCGACACCAAGUGGCUUCGA